rnacentral:rRNA from 1 species
GACGAACCGUGCGAACGUUGUUCGGAUUCACUGGGCUUAAAGGGCGCGUAGGCGGCUUGCCAAGUCAGGGGUGAAAUCUUUCGGCUCAACCGGAAAAGUGCCCCUGAUACUGAUUGUCUCGAGGGAGGUAGGGGCAUGUGGAACUUCCGGUGGAGCGGUGAAAUGCGUAGAUAUCGGAAGGAACGCCGGUGGCGAAAGCGACGUGCUGGAUCUCUUCUGACGCUGAGGCGCGAAAGCCAGGGGAGCGAACGGG